GGAGGGGUACCCAAGUGGCUCAAGGGGACGGUUUGCUAAAUCGUUAGAUUGGAGAAAUCCGGUGCGAGGGUUCGAAUCCCUCCUCCUCCGCCA
rnacentral:tRNA from 1 species